rnacentral:rRNA from 1 species
UGGGGAAUAUUGCACAAUGGGCGCAAGCCUGAUGCAGCCAUGCCGCGUGUGUGAAGAAGGCCUUCGGGUUGUAAAGCACUUUCAGCGAGGAGGAAGGUGGUGAACUUAAUACGUUCAUCAAUUGACGUUACUCGCAGAAGAAGCACCGGCUAACUCCGUGCCAGCAGCCGCGGUAAUACGGAGGGUGCAAGCGUUAAUCGGAAUUACUGGGCGUAAAGCGCACGCAGGCGGUUUGUUAAGUCAGAUGUGAAAUCCCCGGGCUCAACCUGGGAACUGCAUUUGAAACUGGCAAGCUAGAGUCUCGUAGAGGGGGGUAGAAUUCCAGGUGUAGCGGUGAAAUGCGUAGAGAUCUGGAGGAAUACCGGUGGCGAAGGCGGCCCCCUGGACGAAGACUGACGCUCAGGUGCGAAAGCGUGGGGAGCAAACAGAUUAGNUACCCUGGUAGUCCACGCUGUAAAACGAUGUCGAUUUUGGAGGUUGUGCCCUUGAGGCGUGGCUUCCGGAGCUAACGCGUUAAAUCGACCGCCNGGGGAGUA